rnacentral:misc_RNA from 1 species
GUAGGUGAACCUGCGGAAGGAUCAUUAUCGAAAUAAAUAUGAACAGGCUGUUGCUGGUCGGAAGACAUGUGCACGCUUGUCCUCUUUAUUUUUCCAACUGUGCACAUAUUGUAGACCUUUUUGAGGGAAUGAUGGCCAAGGUCUAUGUUACAUUUAACAACUUGUCGUAGAAUGGGGGAUAUGAAACAAAUAUACAACUUUCAGCAACGGAUCUCUUGGCUCUCGCAUCGAUGAAGAACGCAGCAUCUGA